AAGUUUAGGUUAAAUAAACCAAAGACCUUCAAAGUCUAAAAUAAGACUCACCAUACUUAACUUCU
rnacentral:tRNA from 1 species